AACGCCGCGUGAGUGAAGAAGGUCUUCGGAUUGUAAAGCUCUGUCCUUAGGGAAGAACCGUGGGUAUAGUUAAUGAUACCCACCUGACGGUACCUUUGGAGGAAGCACUGGCUAACUACGUGCCAGCCACUGCGGUGACUGAGCGGGCUGGCAAGGCGCAUA
rnacentral:rRNA from 1 species